rnacentral:rRNA from 1 species
CCCACUGAGGAUAUUAUUGAAGGGCCGCGGUAUUUUGGCCGUGCAAAGGUAGCGUAAUCNUUAGUCUUUUAAUUUGGGGCUGGAAUGAAUGGUUUGACGAAAUAACUACUGNCUUUAUAAUAUUNUUUGAAUUUUACUUUUGAGUUAAAAGGCUUAAAUGUUAAUUGGGGACGAGAAGACCCUAUAGAUCUUGAUUUUUUUAUGAAUGUUGAUGAUUCUAGAUUGGGCUCAUUAUAUUUGUGGAUAAAUUUUGUUGGGGCGAUGCGGGAAUAAAUUAACUUCUUUGUUUUAAAUUACGUCGAUAUAUGGUUAGUNAUGAUCCUGUAAUAUGGAUGUAAGAUUAAGAUACCUUAGGGAUAGCAGCGUUAUGAUAUUUGAGAGUUCUUAUCGACAAUAUAGUUUGCGGCCUCGAUGUUGGAUUAAGGAUACAUUUCGGUGUAGAAGUUANAAUAGUUGGUCUGUUC